rnacentral:misc_RNA from 1 species
CACUUCAAAAAAUUGUUAUUAGUCCUACCAAAUAAGCAUUUGAGUUUUUCACCCAUAACUAAUGAUAACAUUACCAAAACAUGACAGCCACAAAAAAGAAAUUGAAUAUGAGGUUAACAUUAUACAUAAGCCAUAGCCAUCAUGGUACUCCAGGCUUAGAAGGUUAAUGAACUUGUUCCUCAGAGCUUACAUUUCUGAAUUAGAUACAGGAUUGGGGAAUCAUUGCCAUCAUUAAAGAAUCUUUCAUUAUCUUUUAUCUUCUGAAUUGAGGCCAAAUGCUUGAUUUUUACUGCUAAGUCAGACAUGAAUCUCCAAGGAAAUUGGUCUGUCCAACACGUUGUUUCUUGAGGUGAAGAAAGCCAUGAUACCUCCAAUUUCAGUUUGAUUUACAACAAUAUGACCAGUUCAACAUUUCGGCAUUGUAUUUGAUUUACAGCAACAAAACUUUGGCAGCAGAAUACACCAGCCUUGCAUCAUUCAUAACUGCAAUUGUGGCCAAAGUAAAUGAUGAAGCCACAUUGGCCUCUGCCUCAAUAGCACUUUUGGCAACUGCAACACCAACUGCCACACUUUGCAUGAUAUUUAAGCCAGCUCAAAGAGAAGCAAGUGUCCCACCAACCAAGCAGUCACCAGCCCCUGUAAGCCUCACAACUGAGGAUGGAAGUGCAGGAAAAUGCACAGCAAAAAGAUGAGAACUCCCCUGAGCCUGCAUAGCACCCGAAAAUUUACUUGAAGGACAGCUUGAUGCUACAAUAUCAUACAACCAUCUGCUAAUUCCAUAUUUUUUGGUUCUUUCCAAAUUACUUCUCAUGAAGUUUGACUCCUUAGAGCAUAAGAACACUCCACAUGCACCAAGAGUCACAACAGCUACCUUGAUACCCUUCUCUAGCAAAACCAAGAUGGCAGAUUUUAAUAUUUGGAGUAAAGACUCUGUUGAAUGGUUUUUGCUAUUUUCUUUUUCAAUUGGAUGAAACAUGUUUCCACAAGACAAAGCAUUUGCCAUGACAAUAAGCUCAUUUUCGUUGGGUGAUGCAGAAGUUACAUUGUUAACAACUGUGGUGAUUCUUGUGGAUUUUGCAACUGAAACAGGCUCAAACCGAACUGGGAUGUUAUAUUCUAUUGCCACUGAGUAAAAAAAAAAUUCAUUGGAAAAUGGGAAAGAAAGGAAAAAGAAGUAGAAAGAUCAAGGGAGAAAUUAUGAGUAGCAUCAAGUUCAUAAACAACUACAUCAAUUAUACAUGCACAAGAGACAGAGGGAGAGGGUACAGUGAUAUGUUAUUACCUUGACAAGCAGCUUCUAAAGCAGGAGAAAUGAGAUUUGCAUCAACCAGCAGUACAGAAGCAGAAGAAAUAUUGCACUUGGAUUGCAGAAUCCACUCAGGGGUGACGGAUUUUUUCUUGGGAAUUGGAAUGAGAUCAUAAUUAAAAAAAUUAGCAUCCUGAAACCUGAAUUUAAUAUUAUUCUUGAGGCCCAUAUAAAUUGAGAGUCCAAUGGAUCCUAUAUCAAUGAAAUUAGGGGUGAGCAUUAUUCGGUUUGAACCGAAUAAAUCGAACCGAACAGCCUUAAUUCGAUAAUUUAAUUCGGUUUUUAUGAUAAUUUGGUUCGGUUCAGUUUUGAUUUUUAAAAAUGUCGGUUAUUUCGGUUCGGUUCGGU